AGCUUUUCUGUUUUCCAAACUCACCUCCCUUCUUUCCAAAAAGAUUAUCUUCUCCCAAAGGAUUCUCAGGGUGCAGACACACAAUAAAUUCAAAAAACACGACAAGCAGAAAAAAACAAAACAAAACAACAAUAAAAACCCACCCGGGGCAGCUAGUUUCCAUUUAAUUACUUAAUCAAGCAUAUCUCAAAGUGCUUUAUUUAAAAUAAACGAAGCCUUUGAGUGCCUUAGGGGUAAUAUGUUGAAAUGUACACACAACGUCUCUGUUUUUGAUAAGAUUAGUAGAUAGGACUAAUCUUUUUAAACUGUUGCGUAGUUACGCAAUCUGUUAGGCGACCCCUCGACAUUUCUCUGUUCUACAGAGCACAGCUUAACACUCCAAAGCAUCUGCUUGGGAGUUCGGAAGACAGCUCUACCUACAGCAACACUUCACUUCUCCUUCCCUCAAAUCUCCCCCCGCCCCGCAAACUCCAACAUCCAAAACGGCCAAGUUUCAGUAAGGGCUGGCAGGCGAAUCGAGCAGAUCACGGAAGACAAAGGGCAGCGCGGGGCCCACGAGCCCCCGCCGGCCCUUCCGUCCGCGCGCGCGCGCAUUCUAAAGCCGGGCGGGGCGGUGCCUCCACAUGCGCUCCCACACGUAGGCGGGAGCCCGGAGCAGCAGCCACACGCGCCACUCCUGCCGCCUCGCGCCGGCCCCCAGUCCCCGGCCGCGGGCGGGGCUGGGGCUGCGGUGCUGAGCCCCAGCACGUACUGGGGCGUGGCCUGAAGCGCGGCGGGCGGGGUUUGGAGAAGUUUCUCCGGGCGGCUCACAUUUCACAUCGUCAUCAUGUAGGCACCAGGGCGCCAGGGCCAGAAGUGGUGCCGGUCCCUUCCGCAUCCUUGCUGUUCUCCCCGCUGAGGGUCUGAUCACUGCCGCUCUCAGGCACCUGUCUUUCCUCUCCGUGCCGGAAUGGAGCCAAGACAAAGGAAUAAAAGAAAUUAAAUAGUACAAGGAGAUCGGGUGUCUGAGCAGCGUCUUGGAUAAUGCCGUCCACUACAGAACCCCUAAAGGAAAAAGACCUCAUCCUAAUAAUCUCUGGAUAGCACCUGCUAGAUAGGAAAAAAAUCACAUGGAAUGAAGGUAUACACACAGAAAUCACACCCUGAAGAUUUUUCCUGUUUAGUUCUAAGCCGUGACCAUGAUGAAGUUUCUGGAAACGAUGACAAAAGAGAAGCUCUUCUGAAGCAAAUGUCUUGAUUUUCCACCUACACCAAUCCAUCCUAUCCAAUGUUACCAACUAAAAUUUCAACUAAC